rnacentral:tRNA from 1 species
GCGCCUGUAGCUCAGAUGGAUAGAGCGCCUCACUCCUAAGGAGGAUGCCGGCCGUUCGAAUCGGCCCAGGCGCACCA